CGAGCCGGACGGGCGGCCGCGUCGGGCGGGGUGACCCGCCCGCCGAGGAAAGUCCGGACUCCACAGGGCAGGGUGGUGGGUAACGCCCACCCGGGGUGACCCGCGGGACAGUGCCACAGAGAACAGACCGCCCGUCCGGACGGUCACCGACCGUCCGGACGGGCAAGGGUGAAACGGUGGUGUAAGAGACCACCAGCGUGCCGGGUGACCGGUGCGGCUCGGUAAACCCCACCCGGAGCAAGGCCAGACAGGGAGCGUUCGAGGGCUGCCCGCCCGAGCUCCCGGGUAGGCCGCUGGAGGGCGCCGGUGACGGCGUCCCGAGAUGGAUGGCCGCCGCCGAUCCCGGGUGACCGGGACCGGCACAGGAUCCGGCUUACAGUCCGGCUCGUCCG
rnacentral:RNase_P_RNA from 1 species